CGCCGACCCUUCCUGCUGCUUGGCGCGCGCUGCCCGCGGAGGGCCGAUAAACCAGGCAGCGCGCCACCCUAGGUUAAUAAAUGUUUAUAUUUGGUCAGAGUAGGUUUUGGUGGCGUAAAUCUCUCAAUCCCGCUCCCCAUGGGGUGGGAGGGGUGCCAGUGCCUCCCCUGCGGGCAGGGAGAUGGCAACCGCUGCGUCGUCGGCAGCGGAGGUUCGUGGUGGGUUGAAGUCACAUAAUUCUUGGCACGGUGGUUUGUUUGUUCCAGCUUCAGGACCUCUGAAUAUAUGGAAUGCAGGAAACAGAACAUCAGAAGAUGUUCAAAAUGUUGGUGAUAUAAGCUCCCGUGUUAUCCAUGAGAUUAAGGCUAAUAUAGGUCCAAGACUAGACGGCAAACAUUAAGUGCUCUUGGAUGCUGAAUCCCAGACAGCCGGGCUAGGUACCAGCGCAGGUAAAAACGGGGAGUGGUUUGCACACACUGAACAGUCUGGGAACUACUGUUCUCUGAGCAUGAGUAAUUCUGUUUGGCGUAACUGGUGCAAAACCCAGCGCAAACGAGUCUUCUGUAGAGCCCCAUGCCAAAUGCUGAAACGAAAUCGUUCCUGAAGGAUUGUCAUCCGCUUUUACCCACUGGAGCCCUGGCAGAUUGGCAAGAACAGAACUGUCAUGACUUUCCUGUGAUGCUGUGAGCCGCCCAUUGGAACAAAGCUCUGGCGAAGACACAACCCAGAGAUGACCAGCUCCAUCCUUUUGUUUCCUCUUAUGAUAUGAUCUAUAUAAUUCCGCACCUUCACCUCUGGGAUUCUCUUCUACCUUUGCUUCCUGCGCAUACACAGCUGAAGAGUGGGGCAAUCAGCCAUACAGAUUUACUAAAAUAGUUCAAGGUCUUUAUCUCAAGCCAGUCUUGCAGGCCAGAGGCUCUCCAGCUGUCUAUGGCUAAGACCCUGCUUUUGCCAUUAGCAGCCUGGCGAUGGCCAUGCUUACAUGAGCCUAGUCAAAGUUCUCUUGCUGUCACAUGUAGCAGUGAAAACCUUGUUUAAAUUCCAGAGCACGUUUGGCUUUAUUGAGGUCCACAGGGGUUCUCAGGUUUGUUCAGAUUUCUUCACGCUUUGCAAGGGAGAAGGAUCCUUCUUUCCGGUUCUCUUCCCGGACCCUUCCCAGCAGAAGGGUCCCAGGCUGGCUAAGAAGACUUGGGAGUAUUCCUUCAAAUUCUUCUGUUUUUACGUUCCCCAAAGCCAUUUCCUGAAAGAGGUGAUUAUACUGAGGGAAGUCUAUGCAUUUAUACAAUGGCUUAUUUAAGGCUUACGUCAGAUCUUGUGCUCUGUGUACCAUUGCCAGCCUGCGUGACUGCUUCCACAAAGUUUUAUUUGUCCACAAGAUUUUCUUGGUUGAAUGUUUGUGUGCUGAUGGCAGUGUAUAGUAGUGGAGAGAGUUUAUGCAGUGGUUCAGAGUACUUUUCCUCACCCUGCUGUUACAGGGCGCAUUGACAAAACACAGUAUCUGACUGUGUUCUGUGGCUGACGUUUCCAGCUUGCUGUCCUCUGCCCAGGAGUGGUGGCAGUUGUACACAGAUGACAUACUACCUUGACAGUGCUUUGCCUAUUGAACCCAGCACCUUACUGCUCCUACUGUAGUAUACCUCACCCUGAAGGGAAGUGUUUUGGUUUUUAGGGCCCUUAUACGUCGCUUUGUAACUGGAAUAUACGUGAGAUUUUAUUAAAACAAAAACACGGUACUUUUCAUGUAUAAUGUUAUCUCUGCUUUCCACUGCCUUCAGACAAUUAAAACGUACCUGUCAGUUUCCUUUCCAUUUAGUGGCUUUGUCAGGUCCUAGGCACAGAAGCUCAGAGGAACUUAGAGUAUACCUUUGGGACGUGGAACUCCAUGGGAACACGAGGCUGAAGAGUUUGUAAUUCUGAUCAGAUUUUUAUUUGUUUAUGACCUGAGGUCUCAAGAUAUUUGAAAGUAUCCCUUCACGUUACUGUCUGAAAUUGAUUAUUCCCUAUGCAGCGUAAGCAUCUUCUACAUGUGCAAAAUCUAUCAUAAUACCAAACAGAAAUUUAUAUAUCAGCUAGAAGCACUAGACAUUAUCUGGUCAAUAAAAUGUGUCAAAGUCUUU